UACGUAGGGGCCUAGCGUUGUCCGGAUUUAUUGGGCGUAAAGAGCUCGUAGGCGGUUCGGUAAGUCAGGUGUGAAAUCUCCACGCUCAACGUGGAGGCGCCACCUGAAACUGCCGUGACUCGAGUCCGGUAGGGGAGUGUGGAAUUCCCGGUGUAGCGGUGAAAUGCGUAGAUAUGCGGAGGAACACCGAUGGCGAAGGCAAUCCCCUGGACCUGUACUGACGCUCAUGCACGAAAGCGUGGGGAGCAAACAGG
rnacentral:rRNA from 1 species